CAGACCGCGAGAUCAUGACCUGAGCUGAACCCUGAAGAAUCUGUCUGAACUCGAAGACAUCUCACGGCAUAAUGUGAUACAUUACAAUUGAUGAUAUCUUCACUUCCACGAGACACAGGGGCACUGAACGUCCAGGAUUACUGUCAGAGCCGGGCCAUGGUGACACCAGGAAGCGUCUCUGAGGAUCCCGGUCCCUUCCUUUCUGAACCUUCGUGACACACACCCCACGCACGGGCUCCCUGUGACCCUGUGGCGCAGGAGGCUGGGGGGCCCGUGGUCUUCUCAACGCCCAGACUGGUUUUCCUGAGCCCUCACCAAAUAAGAGGGGCUACGAAGCCUCUAUAAACA